rnacentral:lncRNA from 1 species
GCAAGCUUGGCUGAGGGCAUGCCAUCUUCUACGAUUGUUGAUGAGGUAGUCUUUGCUUCACUCCUAUUUCCAUCUUGUUCGUUGUAGUGAGGAUCUUUAAUAUUGGCAAUUUUCUUUGCAGGAUGCUGACAAAAUUGUGCGUUCUAUCCAAGACUUAUUCGCUUCCUGGGGGCAAGUCCAGACGUCUCGCCCUGCUCCAUUUGAUCAUCCUGCU